rnacentral:rRNA from 1 species
AUUGAACGCUGGCGGCAGGCCUAACACAUGCCAGUCGAGCGAGCGGCGGACGGGUGAGUAAUGUCUGGGAAAAUGCCUGAUGGAGGGGGAUAACUACUGGAAACGGUAGCUAAUACCGCAUACCAUCAGAUGUGCCCAGAUGGGAUUAGCUAGUAGGUGGGGUAAUGGCUCACCUAGGCGACGAUCCCUAGCUGGUCUGAGAGGAUGAGCAGCCAAACGGGAACUGGGACACGGUCCAGACUCCUACGUGAGUCAGCAGUGGGGAAUAUUUCACAAUGGGCGCAAGCCUGAUGCAGCCAUGCCGCGUGUAUGAAGAAGGCCUUCGGGUUUUAAAGUACUUUCAGCGAGGAGGCGUUACUCGCAGAAGAAGCACCGGCUAACUCCGUGCCAGCAGCCGCGGUAAUAC